rnacentral:misc_RNA from 1 species
AACGCACAUUGCGCCCACCAGCAUUCUGGUGGGCAUGCCUGUUCGAGCGUCAUUUCAACCCUCAAGCCCCGGCUUGGUGUUGGGGUUCUGCGCCUGCAGUCCCCGAAAUCCAGUGGCGGACACGCUAGGUCUCCGAGCGCAGUAGUUUCUCCUCGCUCAGGGCGUCCGGCGUGGGCUUGCCUCGCACCCGUCUACACAAGGUUGACCUCGGAUCAGGUAGGAAUACCCGCUGAACUUAA